UGAGGAAUAUUGCCCAAUGGACGCAAGUCUGAGGCAGCAACGCCGCGUGGGCGAUGAAGGCCUUCGGGUUGUAAAGCCCUUUUCUGGGGGAAGAGGAAGGACGGUACCUCAGGAAUAAGUCACGGCUAACUACGUGCCAGCAGCCGCGGUAAUACGUAGGUGGCAAGCGUUAUCCGGAUUCACUGGGCGUAAAGCGCGUGCAGGCGGUUUCGUAAGUCGGACGUGAAAGCUCCUGGCUUAACUGGGAGAGGUCGUUCGAUACUGCGGGGCUGGAGGUCGGGAGGGGGACGUGGAAUUCCCGGUGGAGUGGGGGAAUGCGUAGAUAUCGGGAGGAACACCAGUGGCGAAGGCGACGCCCUGGCCCGCACCUGACGCUGGGACGCGAAAGCGUGGGUAGCGAACGGG
rnacentral:rRNA from 2 species